rnacentral:sRNA from 1 species
UUAAGGAAUGUUAAGGGCAUUGAAGACUUCCCAAGGGAUUGACACGAGUACACCUACGCUUGUGGAAUUAAGACCAGGUGUAACAAGAUUGCAUGUCUAUAUAGCUCAGUGCAUAAACAGUUUCCAUAGACUUUGCACUUAACCCGAUACACUAUAGAGCUACCAAUUCUGAUCGGAUCAUGAGAAUUGUAAUUCUAAUUCUUGUACCAAACUAAACUCGUCAUGGAUUAGACAUCCCAACAUUUCGAAAAUUCGUUUAAUAGCAAGGGGUCGACGGAAGCAGGACCUAACUGGUGGCAGCAACUCUCCUGCUGUGUCUUCAUGCUCUACUUGACUGUUCUGAUAGAAUACAUGGUUUCAUUGACGUAAAGAAACUAAAUUUAAAAAUUCAGAAAACUUCAGAUUGAAUUAAAUACUGUAAGAUGCAUGGCAGAGCCAAUCCAAUACCAAUCAUUAUGAAGUACUUAGAAUAGAAAGGAGGACAAUAGUCGCAUGUACUUUUAAACUUACACUCUUCACCAUUUUCAAUUCAUUGGUACAAACUUAAGAUGGCUCAUAAACAAGAUUGUGCAAACUGCCAAUGUAAUUUCUCUGAUGUUUUUGAAGUUCACCAUUAAUACAAGUCACAAAUGGUUCCAAGAACUGCAGAGUUGGAGACCAAGACAUCAGGGCCACAAGAACUGCAGAGUUGGAGACCAAGACAUCAGGGCCACAAGAAUUACAGCAAAAUGUUCAGGACAAAAAAAAAAACAUCAACACAUUUUUUAUUUUUUUCAUUGUGUGA